UCUGCAGUCUUGCUCUGAAAGCGGCGCCGGUGUUACGUCAAUCCGCGUUUCCCCAUCAGAUACGGUUCCCCCUGCGUCUUCUUGCCGCUCCGCCCCGCCCACGCGGCAAAAUACGCCGAGCUCGUUAUUAGCACUUAGAACUACAGAUACA